GGUGUGUGUGUGUGUCCAGUGUUUCCUCUUUGUUUAUUUUCUAGUGGCGGCCCACCAUGGCAACAUUUCUGCCACCACAGUAACAGAAAUAAGGCUGU